CUUGAAACCCCUGAGGAGUGAGUGUUUUGCAAAGCACGUGGGGUUUCCAGCAAAGGAAAACAGUGAACUAUUGGCCAUGGUUUCAAAGCAGACCCAUGAACAAACAAAGUGACUGGCCCUGUCCUGCUUUUCACUGGAACAGGCCUCAGAAGGUGAUGGCACAAGCCAGGAGGUAACUACAGAAGAAUGUAGCAUAGCCAGGAGUGAGAAUAGAAAUCACUCCGAGGCUCAGGAGGCUGGGGGCCUGCCACAGCGGUGAGGGCGGCAGGAUGUGUUCUGACUCCCCCCAUUUCUGAGGGCUUGUAAGGCCCAAGCUCUCUGAGUACCUCUCAGGCUGGGACUUAGAUGGCCGUACCUAUUCCCUCUGCUGUGAGUAAGUCUGCUUUCCACCCAGUGGGGAGCUGAAGGGAGGCUGGGAGAGAAAGGGGUACCAGCCAGAGGGCUGGGGCGUGGGAGACGGGGAUGGAAAUGCUGGGGUCUGCAGGGACCAGCCUACCUGGCAGUCCACAAACCUCAGAGUGUGUGUGUGUGUGUGUGUGUGUGGUGUGUUUAUGUGUACAUAUGAGCCUACU
rnacentral:lncRNA from 1 species